CUGGCAAAAUAUAAAAUAGCUUUUUUGUACAUGUGUAUUUUAUACUGUGGUCAACAGAGCUGGUGGGCCGCAUAUUAUUGAUUUUAUGACAGAGGUUGUGGGCCAGUGGAAAUUUGAACACGGGCCGCAAUUGGCCCGUGGGCCGGACUUUGGACAUGCCUGGUGCACAGCCUUCUAGGAAGCUCAGUCUUCACAGUGGGAAUAUGGCAAACAGUUACAAACCAAGGUCCACUUACCAGUUUUCUCUCAGGCCUCUGCCCAGAGCCUUCAUCAUCUGACUGGAGGUAAGAAGAUCAGCAGCGUUCUGGAAGUCAUGCAGCUGAUCUGAUGUGGUGUUGACUCGAGUGGAAACAACAUCGCUCAUGAAAUGUUAAGAGGACAGAUGGCAACAAAAACAGCACAAGGCAGACAGGUGGAAGAGCCGGUGCGAAGACCUCAGCAGUCUGACUAUACAUACGUACAACAUCAGAGUGAGAGAGCUUAGAGUGGCCCUGAACAUCAGCUGAUAAGACCUGCAGACUGCCAAAGAGGCCACCUUCCCUUCUCUUUAUUGCCUGAUUACUGCACUCAGACACAUUUUAUUAUGCAGGGCAAUUUGUGGGGAAAGUGUUUAUUUGGCAGUAGAGUGAAGGCUUUGAUGAAAGCUGUGAAUCAAAGGAGAGGGGUUGUGGCCUUGGAUUUGUUGAUCGAGUGUUUUGAUUUGUAAUUUUAAAAUGUGGUGCUUUUCUCCUCACACCAUUAAAAAGAAG